rnacentral:rRNA from 1 species
AACGAACGCUGGCGGCGCGCUUAACACAUGCAAGUCGAACGGUAGCAGACCUAGCUUGCUAGGUGCUGACGAGUGGCGGACGGGUGAGUAACGCGUGGGAAUCUGCCCAGUAGCGGGGGACAACUCGGGGAAACUCGAGCUAAUACCGCAUACGCCCUACGGGGGAAAGGCUUCGGCCACUAUUGGAUGAGCCCGCGUCGGAUUAGCUUGUUGGUGGGGUAAUGGCCUACCAAGGCGACGAUCCGUAGCUGGUCUGAGAGGAUGAUCAGCCACACUGGGACUGAGACACGGCCCAGACUCCUACGGGAGGCAGCAGUGGGGAAUAUUGGACAAUGGGCGAAAGCCUGAUCCAGCAAUGCCGCGUGUGUGAAGAAGGCCUGCGGGUUGUAAAGCACUUUCAGUAGGGAAGAUUAUGACGGUACCUACAGAAGAAGCACCGGCUAACUCCGUGCCAGCAGCCGCGG